rnacentral:lncRNA from 1 species
GAGACUCCCUGGGGUGAAGGGAAAUGCCACAGACAUCCAUGGUCUUGGAUGCUCAACAGAAGUGCUUGCCUUGGUGAUCCAAAAAAGGCAGGAUCCGGCCGGGGGCAAGGUGAUUAUUCUGUCUGAUGAGGAGAAUAAGAGCCAGUUUGUGGUAUUGACAGAAGAAUGAAAGUAAAGGAAGCUUACUGCAGGAAAGAAAUCCCUCAGAGUCCUGAAGAUACAGCUUUCAGAACUUAGGUGAAGCAAGAGGACUCAAGGUGUGCAAGAAUGGACAGUACAGAAUGCUCUGCUACACUGCUCAGAUUCCCCCUUCAGGAAGGAAGGACAAAUUCACUCAACUUCUGGGAGCAUUGAUGGUUGAGCUCUCAGCCAUCAGACCUUUUUGGAAGUUGCCCUCUUCUGAAAAGAGGCACAUUGCCCAAGAUCUUUCCUCCUCCAGAGCGCAGGCUGCACCUGAAGUCUGAUUGAUGUGGGUUCAACCAAUCUACAAAGGCCAAAAAUAUUUUCACAGGCCCCCAAAAGAUGAACUCCAAUCUGCUGCCCCUAAACGCAUUCUCCACUGUCUGGAAGAUGUGCAAAGGCAACGGCACAGCGUUCUCCAUCUCAAAUCCUUCAAAGUGCUGUCAGAAUAAAAGAAUCCCCACCAAAAGCCCCAGGGAAAUCUAUCUGUCUGUAUGGUAUGGUAAUGACUGAGGUUAUUCCAGAUAGGAUUCUGGGAGAAACUCAGCUAUUGAAAUCUAAUGAAUGGAACUGAGAAUUUCUUGUUAUAAUACUGUUUGUUUGAUUGAAUAUAUCCUUGCAUAUAGGAAGACAUAAAAAUAAAUAAUAAAAGCAA